GUGAGGAAUAUUGGUCAAUGGGCGGGAGCCUGAACCAGCCAAGUCGCGUGAAGGAAGAAGGAUCUAUGGUUCGUAAACUUCUUUUGCAGGGGAAUAAAGUGCGGGACGUGUCCUGUUUUGUAUGUACCCUGAGAAUAAGGAUCGGCUAACUCCGUGCCAGCAGCCGCGGUAAUACGGAGGAUCCGAGCGUUAUCCGGAUUUAUUGGGUUUAAAGGGUGCGUAGGUGGUUUGAUAAGUCAGCGGUGAAAGUUUGCAGCUUAACUGUAAAAAUGCCGUUGAAACUGUCGGACUUGAGUGUAACUGAGGUAGGCGGAAUGCGUAGUGUAGCGGUGAAAUGCAUAGAUAUCACGCAGAACUCCGAUUGCGAAGGCAGCUUACUAAGCUACAACUGACACUGAAGCACGAAAGCGUGGGGAUCAAACAGGAUUAGAAACCCUUGUAGUCC
rnacentral:rRNA from 1 species